GUCCACGCCCUAAACGAUGUCAACUGGUUGUUUGACGGCUUGCUGUUCAGUAACGAAGCUAACGCGUGAAGUUGACCGCCUGGGGAGUACGGCCGCAAGGUUGAAACUCAAAGGAAUUUACGGGGACCCGCACAAGCGGUUGAUGAUGUGGUUUAAUUCGAUGCAACGCGAAAAACCUUACCUACCCUUGACAUGUCAAGAAUCUUGCAGAGAUGUGAGAGUGCUCGAAAGAGAACUUGAACACAGGUGCUGCAUGGCCGUCGU
rnacentral:rRNA from 1 species